GACGAACGCUGGCGGCGUGCCUAAUACAUGCAAGUAGGACGCAGUUGCGAACGAGUGAGUAACGCGUAGGUAACUGCCUAUUAGAGGGGGAUAACUAUUGGAAACGAUAGCUACUACCGCAUACUAGUAGAUUGACCUGCGUUGUAUUAGCUAGUAGGUAGGGUAAUGGCCUACCUAGGCGACGAGACAUAGCCGACCUGAGAUGGUGAUCGGCCAAAGUGGGACUGAGAGACGGGCGAGAACCCUACGGGAGGCAGCAGUAGGGAAUCUUCGGCAAUGGGGGGAACCCUGACCGAGCAACGCCGCGGGAGUGAAGAAGGUUUUCGGAUCGUAAAGCUCUGUUGUUAAGGAAGCGGUACUUAACCAGAAAGGGACGGCUAACUACGUGCCAGCAGCCGCGGUAAUAC
rnacentral:rRNA from 1 species